GUCGUUGAAAUACCACUCUGGUCGUGCUGGAUGUCUAACCUGGGUCCGUGAUCCGGAUCAGGGACACGGGCCGG
rnacentral:rRNA from 1 species